rnacentral:rRNA from 1 species
UACGAAGGGGGCUAGCGUUGCUCGGAAUCACUGGGCGUAAAGGGUGCGUAGGCGGGUCUUUAAGUCAGGGGUGAAAUCCUGGAGCUCAACUCCAGAACUGCCUUCGAUACUGAGGAUCUCGAGUCCGGGAGAGGUGAGUGGAACUCCGAGUGUAGAGGUGAAAUUCGUAGAUAUUCGCAAGAACACCAGUGGCGAAGGCGGCUUACUGGUCCGGUUCUGACGCUGAGGCGCGAAAGCGUGGGGAGCAAACAGG